rnacentral:lncRNA from 1 species
UUUCCUGGGCUUAUCUGGAUCUUCCUGCAGAAAGUCAGUCUUAUGUGACCCUGUACAACCUCCUGGACUUUCCCGCGGGCGUGGUGCCUGUCACUAUCGUGACACUACAGGACGAGGAGGAACUGGCCUUCUACAAGGGGUGCUACGGAGAUAGUUCUGACAAAAAUUUCUCAGAGGUGUACCCACCCCAGUGUGUGCCACCCUCAGGAGCCCCUGGCAGGACCAAGACUCAGGGUCCUCAUUGUGGGCCUCUGCAGCUUGUGGAAGGGGUGGAAAAGUCAAGAUUCAGCCUUUGAAACUCCAUCUUUCCAACCUUGCUGCCCUUACCUCAGCCUGGCCCUCUCCUUUUCGAGGCAGCUGCCAGUGGGGGAAUUGGAACAUCAAGGCAGAAUGGGUUUUUUGACCCAACCACGGGCAUGUGGAGCCACCAUAUAAAGAAGUCCAGGCUAUACUCCUAGAGGCCACAUGCAAGAGAACUGAGGCAUCCCAGCUGACAGCCAGCACCAACUGCCGGGCAUGUGAGUGAACUUUCCUAGAAUACGACCCUCCAGCUCCCAUCAAUCAAGACUGAAGAUGAUAUAGCCCUGGACAGUGCGGCUUGACUGCAGCCUCAUGAGACACCCAGAGUCAGACCACCCAGCUAAGCUGCUCCUGGAUUUCUGACCCUCAGAAACUAUGAUACAAUAAAUAUUUGUUGCAAGCCACUAA